ACUGUAAGGACGAUGCCCAUGAGCAUCAGAAAAGGCAGCCAGGUCUUCAGAAAGCCUGCACAGCUGGAGAGAGAUGACAGGAAAACCAAGCAUGUCUUUUAUCCUGUCUUCCUUCUCUCAUCCCAACCGGUCGUGGCAGAUGGACGCCCCUCCCCGAGCCUGAUUCUCUAGGAGGUUUCUUCCUGUUAAAAGGGAGUUCUUCCCUUCCCACUGUCGCCAAAGUGCUUGCUCAUAGGGGGUCAUAUGAUUGUUGGGUUUUUCUCUCUAUGUAUUAUUGUAGGUCUUCCUUACAAUAUAAAGCACCUUGAGGCGACUGUUGUUGUGAUUUGGCGCUGUAUAAAUAAAAUUCCGAAUUCUAUACAGCCGUGCGGACAUCAACUUGAGAGAAAAGAAGGUCGAUGAUGUUAGCGAUGCUUCUGUUAAGCCACACUCAGCAAACUUAAAUUGUGUGUGUGUGUCUCUGUGUGUAUGUGCACCAUAGUAUAUAAGGUACAAAGGGCUACACGUUUCUGUGGCAUCUGUGAGAAGACUAGCGGAAUAGCAAGAUUUUUUCUUGAGUUUAAUCGACCAGUAAAGCAGUCACAAGAAAUAUCCUUAGAUCAAAUAAGACUAAAUAUUGAGGCCGCUCUGCAUAAUUAAGUAAGAGUGAUUAAGUUAUACUAAACAACCCUUUAAUAUUUUAAUCACCAAGCAGGUAGUCAGAGCACAUUUUCAAUUAAGAAUAAUUAAAAAAAAAAAAAAUAACUGAGUGACUGCGACAACUUCAGAGGUCUCAUCUAUUCCUGAUACUUUCUGACAAUUACUGCAGUUUUGCUGGGAUGUGUAGUUUUUUUUUAUUGUCAUGCUAUAAUUUAAAGACACUCCAGUAAUGUCCUAUAUACACUCUUAUUAUUUCCCCAAGAAUCAGGUCUCUCUCUCUUGUCCUGAGACACAACAGGUUCAAGGCAUACCUGUGAAAUUAUGUCCGAACCCCUGGGAUUCCACAGAGAAACCUCAUUCACAGGCUUCAGCCCUACUUCUUAGGCAGGCUUUGAAGAGAGCAGCUGUGGAGUACAGGGCUUGCACUGUAUCACCUUCUAAGGUAGACAGCCUUCAGAUAUCUUGAGAAUAAGGAUGAUAGUCACUAAUACUAUGUGCAUUCCUCUGAAAGUAGUUCACUUCAGUGCUCCCCGGUAGAUUGAAUUUUUUUUAAAAGGAUACUGUUAAUCUGUUCAUGCUCAUCUGGACCAAGUGAAACAUCGAGUAAAACAUCACUAGAUCAUUGUAACUGAGGUUCGAUUUGGAUAGAAGAUUCAUGUGAUUAAUAAUUGUGUUUGCUUUUUAGCAACAGUCUACAGUUGAGUCCUACAAGAUGUUUAAAAAAAAGAAAGAAAGAAAAUAAGCAUGAACUGAGCCUCUAAAUGGGUUUGUAAGCUUCUCCUGAAUUCUUAAUACUUUGUCAGGAAAACAGUAAACCGGUGAAGUGACUUAUUGAACCAUAUAAACAUGCACGGAAAUAGAGUACAUAAGGCAAAAUAAAAAGUUUGUGUACAAUUCUAACAAGCUUGAAAAUCAAUCUUUGGUAUGACGAAGUGAAGCUUUUGAUCAAAAUGACUGAUCGGUGGAUGAGCUGGGGACUGGUUGCUGUCA